rnacentral:rRNA from 1 species
UACAGAGGUCCCAAGCGUUGUUCGGAUUCAUUGGGCGUAAAGGGUGCGUAGGUGGCAUGGUUAGUCGGGUGUGAAAUCCCGGGGCUCAACCCCGGAACUGCACUCGAUACUGCCGUGCUCGAGUACUGGAGAGGAGACUGGAAUUUACGGUGUAGCAGUGAAAUGCGUAGAUAUCGUAAGGAAGACCGGUGGCGAAAGCUAGUCUCUGGACAGUCACUGACACUGAGGCACGAAGGCCAGAGGAGCAAACGGG